rnacentral:tRNA from 4 species
GCGGUCAUGGCGGAAUGGCAGACGCGCUGGUCUUAGGAGCCAGUGGGCAACCGUGUGGGUUCAAGUCCCACUGACCGCA